AUUACGAUUUCCAGGCACCACCAUUCCUUGCAUAAAUACGGGAACCCAAUUCCGUGCCCUAGAAUUCUCCAAUUUCUUCGAUUUUGGAUUCUGGGUCUCAAGCUCACAGGUUAAAUCUGGUAGUGACCAUAAAACAGCUGAACCAGAGCCAGAAAAGAGGACACAGCGAGAAUAAUAAUAGUGAUUAUAAUAAUAAUAUCAAUCUAAUCCAAAUAUGACUGACUACGAAGGAAGAAGUUACGACGGUAAUGGUGCGGACUUCGAACACGAUAACUAUGGCUCUGCUCGUGGUGGCUCCUCCCCCCAGCCUCGAGCUAGCAGCCAUAGCCAUGGCGGCGCCGACGAUCACAGCGAUUCCAAAUCUCAGCAUGGGUCCCGUGAGCAUGAGAGAGAGUCAUCAAGAAGUAGGGAAAAGGAAAGAGAGAAAGGGCGGGAUAAGGAAAGGGAUCGAGACAGAGAUAGGGAUCGUGAGAGGGACAAGAGUAGAGAGAAGAGCAGGGAUAGGGAAAGAGAUCGGGAAAAGGACCGUGACCGUCACCACAGAGAUCGUGAUCGGCACAGAGACAGAGAUCGGAGUGAAAGGAGGGAACGGGGUAGAGAUAGAGAUGACGAUGAUUAUCACCGAAGCCGAGACUAUGACAGGGACAGGCGGAGAGAUUACGAUAGGGACAAAGAAGACAGACAUAGGCAUCGAUCACGAUCUCCUUCAAGGGGUAAAUCUGAGCGCAGAUCCAAAUCCCGCUCCCGUUCCCGCUCACGGUCAAAGAGCAAACGGAUCAGUGGUUUUGAUAUGGCUCCUCCUCCAUCUGCAAUGUUGGCUGGUGCAGCUGCAGCAGCUGCUGCUGCAGGUCAGAUUCCUGGGACAAAUCCUGCUAUUUCUGGAAUGUUUCCAAAUAUGUUCCCUUUAGGAACUGGUCAGCAGUUUGGUGCUCUUCCUGUUAUGCCAGUUCAAGCAAUGACACAACAGGCUACCAGGCAUGCUCGGCGGGUAUAUGUUGGAGGACUUCCCCCUACUGCUAACGAACAGUCCGUAGCAACCUUUUUUAGCCAAGUUAUGGCUGCAAUUGGGGGAAACACUGCUGGUCCUGGUGAUGCUGUUGUGAAUGUCUAUAUUAAUCAUGAAAAGAAGUUUGCAUUUGUGGAGAUGAGAUCUGUUGAGGAGGCCAGUAAUGCAAUGGCUUUGGAUGGGAUUAUUUUUGAGGGGGCACCUGUCAAGGUGAGGAGACCUAGUGACUAUAAUCCUUCUCUUGCUGCAACACUUGGUCCAAGCCAGCCCAAUCCCAAUCUGAACCUGGCUGCAGUUGGUUUAACCCCAGGCUCGGCUGGUGGACUCGAGGGUCCAGACCGCAUAUUUGUCGGUGGACUUCCUUAUUACUUCACAGAGGCACAAAUCAGAGAGUUAUUGGAAUCUUUUGGGCCUCUACGGGGUUUUGAUCUAGUUAAAGACAGAGAAACUGGGAACUCAAAAGGAUACGCAUUUUGUGUUUACCAAGAUCUUUCAGUUACAGACAUAGCUUGCGCUGCCCUUAAUGGAAUCAAAAUGGGUGAUAAAACUCUCACAGUCAGGCGUGCCAACCAGGGUGCUAACCAACCUAAGCCUGAGCAAGAGAAUGUACUAUUGCAUGCACAACAGCAGAUUGCCUUGCAGAGACUUAUGUUACAACCUCUUCCCACUAAAGUAGUAUGCCUGACUCAAGUUGUUAAUCCGGAUGAACUUAAAGAUGAUGAGGAAUAUGAAGACAUCUUGGAAGAUAUGAGAACAGAAGGCGGGAAAUUUGCCUUUUGUAGUCCCACAUUCUGCUAUAAAGAAUCAGGCCUAACAUACACAGACAGAAGACUUCAUUAUCCCCUAUUUAUAUUUGCUUGAAACUCUUUUCCUUUUUUCUUUAAAAAAAAUCAUUGAUUUGAAAAAUCGCGGUUUGCAUAUUUUUACACCUUAUAUGCAGGUACGUUGGUGAAUGUUGUUAUCCCACGCCCAAAUGCAGACAGUGAAGCUUUACCAGGAGUCGGGAAGGUGUUCUUGGAAUAUGCAGAUAUAGAAGGUGCUACAAAAGCCCGAGCAGGGAUGAAUGGGAGGAAAUUUGGUGGUAAUCAAGUUGUGGCUGUUUAUUUUCCAGAGAACAAGUUCUAUCAGGGAGAAUAUGAUGGCUAAACACUCAGAUUUAGCAUGCAUUUACACUCUCCUGUCCUAGGUCCUUACAAUUAGAACCAGAUGGUUUGCUAAAUGUUAUUGAUGAUAGCUCAAGGUUUUUCCUUGUUAUUCUUGUUUUUUUCUCAGUUGUUUUGUUAAUUUGAGUUGUAAUAGAUAAGGAUUAGUAUUUGAACCCAGUUCUAAUGAACAUUUUGUUUUUUCUAGAAGUAA